GAUGAACGCUGGCGGCGUGCCUAAUACAUGCAAGUCGAGCGAACGGACGAGAAGCUUGCUUCUCUGAUGUUAGCGGCGGACGGGUGAGUAACACGUGGAUAACCUACCUAUAAGACUGGGAUAACUUCGGGAAACCGGAGCUAAUACCGGAUGAUAUUUUGAACCGCAUGGUUCAAAAGUGAAAGACGGUCUUGCUGUCACUUAUAGAUGGAUCCGCGCUGCAUUAGCUAGUUGGUAAGGUAACGGCUUACCAAGGCAACGAUGCGUAGCCGACCUGAGAGGGUGAUCGGCCACACUGGAACUGAGACACGGUCCAGACUCCUACGGGAGGCAGCAGUAGGGAAUCUUACGCAAUGGGCGAAAGCCUGACGGAGCAACGCCGCGUGAGUGAUGAAGGUCUUCGGAUCGUAAAACUCUGUUAUUAGGGAAGAACAUAUGUGUAAGUAACUGUGCACAUCUUGACGGUACCUAAUCAGAAAGCCACGGCUAACUACGUG
rnacentral:rRNA from 1 species